rnacentral:rRNA from 1 species
CAAGUCGAGCGAGAUUUUUUCUUGUAGCAAUACAGGGAAAAGUCUAGCGGCGAACGGGUGCUUAACACGUGGGCAAUCUGCCGAGAAGUGGUGGAUAGCUCGCCGAAAGGCGAAUUAAUACCGCAUGUGAUCAGAGUGGACAUCCAUUCAAAAUCAAAGUCGGGGCAACCUGACGCUUCUUGAGGAGCCCGCGGCCUAUCAGCUAGUUGGUGAGGUAACGGCCCACCAAGGCUUUGACGGGUAGCUGGUCUGAGAGGACGACCAGCCACACUGGGACUGAGACACGGCCCAGACACCUACGGGUGGCAGCAGUCGAGAAUUUUUCUCAAUGGGGGAAACCCUGAAGGAGCGACGCCGCGUGGAGGAUGAAGGUCUUCGGGUUGUAAACUCCUGUCAUUUGGGAACAAGGUGUGCGCGUUAACUGCGCGCGCAUUGAUAGUACCAGAAGAGGAAGAGACGGCUAACUCUGUGCCAGCAGCCGCGGUAAUACAGAGGUCUCAAGCGUUGUUCGGAUUCAUUGGGCGUAAAGGGUGCGUAGGCGGCGCGGUAAGUCGGGUGUGAAAUCUCGGAGCUUAACUCCGAAACUGCAUUCGAUACUGCCGUGCUUGAGGACUGGAGAGGAGACUGGAAUUUACGGUGUAGCGGUGAAAUGCGUAGAUAUCGUAAGGAAGACCAGUGGCGAAGGCGGGUCUCUGGACAGUUCCUGACGCUGAGGCACGAAGGCCAGGGGAGCAAACGGGAUUAGAUACCCCGGUAGUCCUGGCAGUAAACGGUGCACGUUUGGUGUGGGAGGAUUCGACCCCUUCUGCGCCGGAGCUAA